CCCUGCCAGUGUCUCCGCCGGUUGAAAGCGCGUGUCUGCGUCGGGUUCUGUUGGAGUGCGUUCGGUGCGCCGUGGGUCCGCGCUGCUUCCACCCAACUUCCUGUUAGUUUCUCUCCUGUCACAAUGGCAUGAUCUCGGCUCACUGCGACCUCUGCUUCCUGGGUUCAAGGAUUCUCCUGCCUCAGCCUCCCAAGUAGCUGGGAUUACAGGAAUCUCACCAGUGACACGCGUUUGUGAAAAGCUGUGAAUAUUCAGUGCCACAGGGUUAAACCUCGGUACAGAAGCGAGACCCUGCUGGGCAGAGAAAGGGUGACCUGGAAGGUGUGUGAGGGCCCCGCCCAUGGGCCCCUGUGAUGGUCAUGGCCUCAAGAAUCACAGUCCAGGUUACAUUAGUUAUACACUCUGGAGGUGACUUGACCUGUCAUUGUGAACAAUUAUUGCUCUUGGACGACCCA
rnacentral:lncRNA from 10 species